CGCAGCCGCGGUAAUUCCAGCUCCAAUAGCGUAUAUUAAAGUUGUUGCAGUUAAAAAGCUCGUAGUUGAAUUUCGGGGUUAGUAGGUUGGUCAUGCCUCUGGUAUGUACUGGUCUCACUGAUUCCUCCUUCCUGAUGAGCCGUAAUGCCAUUAAUUUGGUGUUGCGGGGAAUUUGGACUGUUACUUUGAAAAAAUUAGAGUGUUUAAAGCAAGCUAACGCUUGAGUACAUUAGCAUGGAAUAAUGAAAUAGGACGUUCGAUCCUAUUUUGUUGGUUUCUAGGAUUGACGUAAUGAUUAAUAGGGAUAGUUGGGGGCAUUAGUAUUCAAUUGUCAGAGGUGAAAUUCUUGGAUUUAUUGAAGACUAACUACUGCGAAAGCAUUUGCCAAGGAUGUUUUCAUUAAUACAAGAACGAAAGUUAGGGAUCGAAGACGAUCAGAUACCGUCGUAGUACUUAACCAUAAACUAUGACCGACUAGGGAUCGGGAUGAUUGUUAAUUUUUAAUUGUACUUNAUUUCGGCCGUCCGUUAACGGGAAACCUAA
rnacentral:rRNA from 1 species